AUUGAACGCUGGCGGCAGGCCUAACACAUGCAAGUCGAACGAGUGGCGGACGGGUGGGUAAGGUCUGGGAAACUGCCUGAUGGAGGGGGUUCACUAAUGGACACGGUAGCUAAUACCGCAUACCAUCGGAUGUGCCGAGAUGGGAUGAGAGAGUAGGUGGGGUAACGGCUAACCAAGGUGACGAACCCUAGCUGGUCUGAGAGGAUGACCAGCCACACUGGAACUGAGACACGGUCCAGUCUCCUACGGGAGGCAGCAGUGGGGAAUAUUGCACAAUGGGCGCAAGCCUGAUGCAGCCAUGCAGCGUGUAUGAAGAAGGCCUUCGGGUUGUAAAGUACUUUCAGCGGGGAGGCGUUACGCGCAGAAGAAGCACCGGCUAACUCCGUGCCAGCAGCCGCGGUAAUUC
rnacentral:rRNA from 1 species